CUCCCGAGUGCUUGCACUCAAUUGGAAAGAGGAGUGGCGGACGGGUGAGUAACACGUGGGUAACCUACCCAUCAGAGGGGGAUAACACUUGGAAACAGGUGCUAAUACCGCAUAACAGUUUAUGCCGCAUGGCAUAAGAGUGAAAGGCGCUUUCGGGUGUCGCUGAUGGAUGGACCCGCGGUGCAUUAGCUAGUUGGUGAGGUAACGGCUCACCAAGGCCACGAUGCAUAGCCGACCUGAGAGGGUGAUCGGCCACACUGGGACUGAGACACGGCCCAGACUCCUACGGGAGGCAGCAGUAGGGAAUCUUCGGCAAUGGACGAAAGUCUGACCGAGCAACGCCGCGUGAGUGAAGAAGGUUUUCGGAUCGUAAAACUCUGUUGUUAGAGAAGAACAAGGACGUUAGUAACUGAACGUCCCCUGACGGUAUCUAACCAGAAAGCCACGGCUAACUACGUGCCAGCAGCCGCGGUAAUACGUAGGUGGCAAGCGUUGUCCGGAUUUAUUGGGCGUAAAGCGAGCGCAGGCGGUUUCUUAAGUCUGAUGUGAAAGCCCCCGGCUCAACCGGGGAGGGUCAUUGGAAACUGGGAGACUUGAGUGCA
rnacentral:rRNA from 1 species